rnacentral:sRNA from 1 species
GUAAUCUUUCCACUCUUUUGUUCUUUCUUUCUUCCUGUUUCGUGUUGUUCAUGGAUCAUCUCUACGACUCUACACUCAUAGUAUUACGUUUGGGGAUGAUGGCUCUGGUUGAUUGGUAGUAAUUGGUAGUAUUCUCUAGUUUCAAGCUGUAGAAUUUCCGUGUGAGAUUAUUGGUCGGUGAACAUUUUGCACAACCCUGCAGUUUCCACUUUCUAGUUACAGAUCUGUGUGGGGGUUGAUAUGUAAUUGGAGUGUUAUGGGCGCUUCAUGGGUAUGGAUUGUUUUAGUUCAUUUUGGGCACUCCUCUGUACGUAGAGAGAAGGGGUCGAUCAAAAACGGAAGUUAAUUG